UCAUUUUAUAAAUAGGGGGUUGAACCCCCUCAUUUUAUGGAUCGAAUUAUGAAUUUUAUACCCAAAUGUUGCCGCACUAGAACCAGACUUUGCCAAACCCCGCACUAACCCUAGACAUGUAUGUUCAUAACUUAACCUAGCACGCCUAAACACCUAAACCUUGCAUUUCACAAACUCCUCAAGUUCAUUAGCCUUCUAUUGCCUCGCUCGACAGACCCUGAAGGACUCAGUGAAUGUCGUGCAGGUAUACUGAUCCUGAAUCGGCUUAAGGUACGCUUCCAUUUUCUUUACUUUAUUACAUUCUCGUCUAUUUAUAAAAACCCUUUUGCAAUUCCUUCCCCUCGUCUUGGUACCCUGAUUUUAGAACUUUCUUGUGAAUUUCUAGUUUUGUGGUGUUGGCUUCAUAAAAACCCUUUUGCAAUUCCUUCCCCUCGUCUUGGUACCCUGAUUUUAGAACUUUCUUGUGAAUUGCUAGUUUUGUGGUGUUGGAAGCCAGCACUACUGGCAAUCCGAGAGAGGGCGGUCUUAUGGCCAGUCUCUUAUCCGAGUCGUAAUUUAAUAAGACCCAUACUCUAUUGAACCCUUUUUUGACGAGUUUGCGCCUGAAAACGAGGUGGGGACUCCAAUCUCUAACGAAAUUUUCAAGUAUAAAUAAGUUUCAAGGGUAGUUUGACUGGGUAUUAUAGAUGGUUAGUAAGAUAUCUUUUGUAUUUCAAAAUAUUUGAUGUAACUCUCAUGAAUAUAAUAGAUUUCAGAUUGACAUGGCUGUGGAUGUAGUAGCUCUUUGGUGUGACUUAAUCUUUAUAUUCAUGUGGUCCGUAUAUUUUAUGCUUUAUUUAUCGUAUUAUGGUUUGUACUCUCACCUAUUUUUUAUUCUAGCCUGUUAAGUAAACAAUCUUGGUGAAGUCCAACUUUCAAAUUCCUGUUUCCAUGUCUAAGAGGGCUCUUAAGCCCUAAUAGUAAAAUCAUUUAAGUAAAACAAAAAUGCAUCUAAAGCGACUUAGGAUGCAUUUAAAACAAGGUUUAAAUACUUGGCUUGGGUUUAGGACUAGGCCAGGCCAAAUAAAAUAUAUAGAAAAGGGGGUCAGGCCGGGAAAGCCAAACCAGCCCAGCCUUGGCCGGGGCCCAGCCCUACCCUUGAGCCAUGGUUGCCAGCCUCUAGCCCAGCCCUUGAAUCACAUGUUGUGGCCCAUGCCCUAAUUUUUUAGGGCCGGACUAACCCAUCCCAUUGCCACCUAUAACAGGGAGAAGGAAUUUCUGCCCCUUUCAGAUAGAGAGAGGGAGAUUGUCGAUAGGAGGGCUGAUUUAUGUGCUAUUUUUUGGGAGAGAGAGACAAAAGAAAGGGGCAAGACCCCUAUUUUUUGAUUUUUUUAUAUCACUAACAAUACUUGGGCCAAAAGCGCAACUCGUCCGAGUACUAUAUAAACCGAUGAGUCAGCCCGAGUUCUAUAGUACUAGGGUGAAUCAGCCAGAUUUCAACAGUACCCGAGCAAGUCAUUGUAGUACUCACUAGAGUACCUGUACAUGUUCCCAUGUACCUCAGUAAGUAAAUGAAAGCUUGAUUAGUCUAUAAACGGAAGCCGCGUCAGUCAAACGAGUCUGAGUCGAUUCGGGCGAGUUUUGUUAUCUGGUUUCUAUCCUAAAUCCAUCUCCAAGAUGGUUUUUGAAAUAUCUAAACUGAUUUAAACUCUCUCAAAGAUAAAUUGAUAAAUAACAGUAUAUUGUGGGAGUAGGGGAGAAAGAGAGAUGCCCGUCUCUCCUGGUUUUGGAUGCUGAGAGAGUGAGAGUGUGCAUGCAGAGGACAAAUUUCCAAGUUUUCCCCCUUUUUCUCUUUCUAUUUUCAUGGUAAAAGUUUACCGAAGGCCAAAAUUCCUCUUGUUCUCUCAAGAGAAGAACAUGGUUCCAUAAGUCAAGAAAUAAAAUAAAAUAAAAUGGAAACAUGAAUUUGGAAGGUUUCUCUCAAAAACCUCAUGAAGCUCACUCUGUCCAUUUGACAUCCAUUGUGAUGAUGAAUUCAUUGAAUCACACAAAUGCAAGAGUUCCUCACUCCACCAAAUUCUCCAUCUUCCCACACUCUGUAGAACAAAACCCAAAAAAAAAUAAAAAAAAAUAAAAAUUUUUUUUUAAAAAAAUACACAGAACAACAACAAUAUAUCAAUACUAAAACCAGAAGAAGCCUUUAAAGAAUCACAAGAUGAAUUUAAUGAUCAACAGUAUAAGAGAGAGAGAGAGGGAGAGAGCAUACCCUGAAUCAAACUCUUGGACAUGGGUGAGAUCCUUUCCAUGAGCAUCAGGCCAGUUCACCUUCCUCUUCCCAUGUGCUUCUCCUCCCAUAACCACCUUCUCUCUCUUCAAGUUACUCUUGAGAGGGGGCUCCAUACAAGCCUUUUGCUCUUGCACCUCACCAUCAACAACAUUAGCACCACCUCCCUCAGUGUUCUGAUCAUUUGAUGUGGGUUCACAAAUGACCCCAUUCUUAUUAUUAUUGUUGAUGAUGUUGUUGUUGUUGCUAUGGGCCCUUGAAGGAGCAUAGCAAGAGCAUAUGAAAGAAGAGGAGCACUUCUUUUGUGACGCCAGGUGAUCAAAGUAGGCGGCCCCGGUCCAAAAACCGGUGGCCUAUUCCCAUAAUCCGAUGUCGAAAGCCCCUACGGUGGUGAAUUCCGGCGAUUUGAAUGAUCACUCGGACUAACCCACAUCAAACCUUAUCCUAUGGGGACCUGAAAUGGCUCUAGAACUCUCCUAACACUUAUACAGCUCUAGUAUGUGCUCUCUCUCUCUCAAGAUGGAACUGCAACUUCCAACACUUGAAAAUAAGUGAUAACAGACUCUCUCUCUCUCAAAUGGAGCUCCAACUUCCACCACUUGAAAUGAGGGUUAACAGUUUCUCUCUCUCUCUCUCUAAACACCACUGUAAAUGGGCAGAAUUUGAGUUUUAACACAAUCCAUCUCUCUCUCUCUGUCUCUAAACACCACUGUAACUGGGCAGAAUUUGAGUUUUAACACAAUCCAUGUCUCUCUCUCAAUCUCUAUCUCUUUCUCUCUCUACAAAAAGUCUAGGUUUGGAAGAUGAGAGAGAAAGUAAAGGAGGUAUGUUUGUUUGGUGAAAAUGAUUGCCAUUGCUUCACAGGGGCAUGUGUGGUAGAGAAAACCGUGAUUGUGCAGCCCAUAAUUAUGAUGCCUUUGGGAAUUUGUCUUAUCCCACAUGAUGAGGUGAAAGGGGAAUAAUGGUUGAUUUCCUCAUCUUUAACUUUUUAUGGAUAGUGAGGGUGAAAGGGGUGGAAUACAAGCCUAUUCUCCUUUUUUACUUUUUCCACUAGUGGGUGGCUCUUAUUUGGUGACAGCUAUGAGAGAGAGAGAGAUGCCAUUGAAUAUAUAUAUAUAUAUAUAUAUAUAUAUAUAUAUUAAAUAAAUAAAAUAAUAAUAAUAAUAGAGAGCCCCAACUAGAGAGAGAGGGGGGUGCAUUGCGGUUGUGUAGCGGUGGGCAUUGAUCGGAUCCGGAUGAUAAGAAAGGUUUUAGAUCUUAUUCGGAUUUGGGUAUGGACCUAAAAUUUGGAUCGAUUCAGAGGUUUGAAUUGCAUAUUAAAUAGCAUUACCUAGAGUAAAUUUUCUUUUAUAUAUUAAAUGUCAUUACAUGGAGUAAUCUAGAUCUAGAUCUGGAUCCGGAUCCGGAUCAGGAUCUAAUAUAUACUAUUCGGAUCUAGAUCCGGAUUCAAAUAUCCAGGAUCCAUUUUGGACUCGGAUCUUACCGAAAUCUGAUGUAUUAUAUUUGGAUCUAAAUACAGAUCUAGUCGAAUCCGGCCCCAAUCCGAUCUGUUCUCACCCCUAGUUGAGAGGACCACAUUUCAUAUCGAAAAAUAUUCGGUGGUCUGCUGAACCACAUUCUCUCCCUAAAAAAUGGCCACAACUCAAAGGAAUUCCUCCUCUGAAUUUUUUUUUUUAAAAAAUUAUUACGUAUAUUUGGUAUGCAUUAUUGAAAAAUAUUUUUACGUGAAAAAACUCCCUCAUGUAAUUAGGUGUAAGGGUACUUUCACAUCAACUGACUGCCAAUUGAUGUGACAAAAUGUAUUGGGACCAAUUGAUGUAAAAAUACUCUCACAUCUAAACACAUAAAGAAGUUUUUUCAUAUGAAGUAUUUUCACGUAUACCAAAUAUGCCCUUAUAUUAAUUUUUCUCUUCCCUUGGAUUAAACUAAGAGAAAAGCUAUUUAAGUUCCUUGAAUAGGAAAAUCCCAACCUUGAUUUUCGAAAAGGCAAAUCCUAUCCAAGUUCCUUGAAUAGGAAAAUCCUAACCUUGAUUUUCGAAUAGGAAAAUCUCCUAACCUUGAUUUUCGAAUAGGAAAAUCUCCUAACCUUGAUUUUCGAAAAGGAAAAUCCUAUCCAAGUUCCUUGAAGGUGCGUGCUACUCCACUUUAAAACAUCAAAUAACGAGGGCUUUACUUGAAUCAGGUCGGAUCGGGCCAAAAAGGUAUUUAUUAUUAAUAACUAUAUCUAUACGACAUUAUUAAACAAGAGUUCAGGGUGGACACAUGUCACAAAAAUAUAAAAGAUCUGCAAUUGUAUAGAGGUUGUAGGACACAUUCUCCAGCUCUAAGGGUAGAGAGAAAAAUAUAUUUUAGGAGAGAUUUUGAUAAGGAUAUAGAGUAUAGAAGAAGGGGAAGAGAGAAGAGAGAAGAUUUUAGAAAAUCAAGAUUUUAGUAAGAUUUAUUUGAGAGAAUAUGCACAAGAGAGAGAUAAUGAGAGAUUUUAAAAGAGAUUUUGAGAAGCAGAUAAAGAGUAUACAUGCAAGAGAGAAUAAGCACUUAUCCCCAACUCAAAUUCAAGACAUAUAUAUAUAUAUAUAUAUAUAUAUAUAUAUAAGUCUGUUUCUAUAUCCAAGAGGAUUCCCCAUCCAAGCAUGAUAACCGCUCUCAAUGGAUGCACGCCUCAUUUUUUUUUCCCUUAUUUUUUGGUUCAAACUUUCUAAAAUUGCUACCUAUCCCUAACUCAAAUUCAAUUUUUUUUCCCAUAUUUUUUGGUUCAAACUUUCUAAAAUUGCUACCUAUCCCCAACUCAAAUUCAAUAGAGAGAUUUUAAGAGAUAUUUUGAGAAUAAGAGAGAGAAACUACGUGCAAGAGAGAGGAAGGGGAAGAGACAAGAUUUUUAAAAAUUAAGAUUUUAGUAGGAUUUAUUUGAGAGAAUAUGCGCAAAAGAGUGAUAUAAUAAGAAAAUUUAGGAGAGAUUUUGAAAAUGAGAGAGAGUAUGUGCAAGAGAGUACAUGCAAGAGAUAUUUUAGGAUCGAUUUUGAGAAGGAGAGAGAGAGUACGAGUAAGAGUCUCACACUAAGUUAAGACUUUUAUUCUAAUUAGGUUUAGAAAUCUGUCUCUCAACCUCUCAAAAUAGUUUCAUGUGCCCCUCUCAACUUCUCAACAAGGUGUGCUUCGUUUUUCUCUCUGCUUAUGCAUGAGUUUCAUAAAUUUAUUGAUUUAUGGUUUUUAGUUUGUUAUUUAAAUUAAAGAGGUUAUGGGUUUUUUGUUUUUUAAUCAAUGUUUAGGCUAUUUGAAGGGAGAAGUUGAGUUAAGUAUAUGUUAGGAAUUGUUAUGGUUAUUGUUUUUUUGAGGGCUUUGCCGCAUAGAAACCGAGUCCCACAUUAAUAGAAGCUUAGUAGCCAUUGUUGUUGUCCUUUUUUUUUUUUUUUCGAGAUUGUAAACCAUCAGGCGAAGCUUUUGGCACUGAAAUUUGGAGGGUCAAAAUUUCAUCCUAUUGAAAUUCACCUUGGGCAACUGGUUGUUGGUUCCUUGCUUAGUGUAAACCUCUCUCCCACCAUAGCCAUUAUAUCAAACAACAAACUCUACAAUUUAAGGCUAAAAACCCAAGAAUUGGAAGAAAGUUCUAUGAGAAAUUACCCCCAAAAAGCAGUGAGUUUCAUAAAAAUUUGGUGGGCAAUGGUGAGACUAUGAGAGAUUUUCUACGUGGAGUGAAAUGCAGUGCUCAUUCGAAAAUGGAGACGGAGACGGGCUUUGGGAAAGAAACAGGUUUUGAAGGAUGAAAAAGUUUUGUCAACUUUCCCUCUCAAAUAUAGUUGAGCAUCUACUCUUAGUUUUCCAUUGCAGGAACAAAUGAAGCUCAACACAAAAUGCGCAGAAUAAUGGUUUCCAAGUUUAUCAGGCAAGGGCUUGAGAUGGCAUCCCCCGUCUCUAAAUUCUUAAGUAUUAUUAGGAAGAAGCUUGAAAUUAUCAAAAGAAGCACAUGUUGGGUGUGUGUGGCCAUUUAAAGUCUUAUAGAUGCUCAUAAAAGAAUUAUACAGUGGAACAUAAACUCAGUGGUCUUAUUACAAACAAUAAAAAUUCUAAAAAUAAAUAACACAAAAUCCCAACUACUUGAUGCCAUUCAUACAACCUAAUACCGUGCUUAAGAAUAUAAAAUAAAAGAACAAACAAAUAAAAGAAAAGAUGCCAGAGGUUACCUCAACCGAGCUUUUUACACCCCACAUUGAGUCACCACAUCUAAUGGCACGGGAUACGUGGUCUAGCUUCAAUCUUGAACCACGAUAGCUGAUUUUGGUCAAACUAUGUAACUAUCCUUAAAAUCUCUACUAAACCUUAACCCCCAAAACUAACUUACGCUUCCUUCUAAUUUUUUCAACCCUUAGUUUCUUCUUAGGUCUAGAGAGGAGAGAGAAAGUACUACCUAGGGUUUUGGAGAUAGGAAGUUAGAGAGAGAAAUAUGGAGGAGAGAGAGUGAGGAGAGUGGGGUGUUCCCCUCUAGGAGAGAGAGAUGUGUGAGAGAGAGAAGAAAGAGAGGUUGUGUUUGUAGAGAUUGGGGGAGAGCACCCCUAUUUAUAGUAGAUAUUUAGGUUUAGGGUUUCUUAGGGUUUUCCUAUAAUUUGCCUCUUUCAUGAGAUUGAAUCUAGACCGUUGAUCAAAGUGACCUGUGGGAUAAGAGAUCUGAGUCAUCAACAUUAUGGAAGGUGCUUGGACUAUUAUUCCCCUUUCCUUAAACCAUUUUCCCAUCAAUAUAUUUAAAUAAAAUAACUAUCAUGCAUUCCAUAAAAUUGCAUGAUCCAUGUUACAUAUUCCAUAAGGAUAUGUCAAUAAUUAUCAAGCAAAUAAAUACUGCCAAAUAAGAUAAGGUCAAUAUUUCCCUUCUAAGAUUUGACCACAAUCAAAGUUAAUGAAUUUAAUAAACUUGAACACAAAGCAACAAGAGAAUCCAAGGGGUGCGGCGUACCACGCGUUUGUAGCACAUGUGGGCCCCCACCUGCAUGCUAUAUGGUGGGCCCAUGUGCACUUUGGGCCCCCCAUGAAAUUUUAUAAAUAAUUUUAAAAUUAAACAAUUUAAUAUAUGAAUUUUUCCAAUCUUGUAAAAUCAAUAACUGUAUUUUUGUAAGUCCAAAAAACAUAAAUAAAAUAUUGAGGGAUUCAUAAAAAUUCAAAUAAUAAAACUAAAAAUAUUUCAAUAUUAAAAUGAACACAAUUAAAUUAAUAUGAUAGGAAAAGGAUCCAUAUGGUUUUAGGAAUUCAAUCUGUAAUAAUGGGGUACUCCACCUUCAACUGUGGACUACAAACCACACUAGCUUUAUCGAACCGACCCAGUAUUUCCUAUGACACAUAGUCAAAGCAGUAGCUCAUUAGCAGGUCACCAAAGUCAGGUCGAUGAAUCAAGGGGUCCCAAUCCCAGUCUGUGGAUUAUAGGCCAUCCCUUAGAGACGAAUCAAGGUCACCAUGACCUGAUGCGACCACAGCUCUAUGGUGCAUAAGGGUAUCUCUCGUACAUGCAUACGCUUCACCCAAAUGUGGAUAUCUGGCUUUCCCAAACGAUCUACCGAUAUGCAUGCCGUGUGAUAGAAGGUUUUGGCCCCCGUCUCAGUAAGUCUACCAUCACACACAAAGGUCACACAGCCCCUUGGCUUACUUAUCUAGGCAUAAGCUCCAACCUCAUCAAGGGCUAACCCAAAAGCCUAGGUACCUUGGGUUUUCCAACCGAUUGGCCUAGAUCGAUAAACAGAGUCCGGCAUAAGCAAACAUCAUUUGCUUAGUACGGUCAUUGAGGGAUCACACUACCACUAAUUUAUGUUUCACUAUAAUAAAAGUAUUUCAAUACACACUCAUAAGGCCUUUAAAAGCUACAUAAACCCAACAUCUCCCACUUGGCCUAUGAAUGCCUUACGUUCUAUCUUCCUCACUUUCUCUCAUCCCCAUCUCUCUCAUGUCUUACAAAACAUCAGGUACAAUCCCCUUAGAGGGUUUGCAAUCAUCAAAUAUGUAGAUAGGUAGUGGUACAGAGAGCUAUGGAUGGACAGAACUACGUCAACUUUGUCGGGUUAGUAGAUAUGCUAAGCAUAAAAAAACCUAUAGGCGAGGACUCAAACCUAUUACUAUUUACCCAGACAGAAAAUAGGAAACUGGGAUUGUUGGCCAACGACUGCGACUGGCUUGCCUUCCUUAAAAAAGGGCUUCGCCGCACCUGGAACUAGCUCUGAUUUCGAACCAGAAUUCUCAACUAUUUGGCACUACCCUAUCUCUCCCUCCACACCUCUCUUUCCCUCCUUUUCUGCAGGCAAAGCCUUCCCUUGCCCAAGCUGAUCUUGAUCUCUUUCAAUCUCACCUCAUUUCUCAAGUAAUAAAAAUAAAGAUUAAUAUGCUUGGAGUUCUUAUAAAACCGAAGCUCCUUAGAGACACAAGUAGCUGCAGUGUUGUCGUAGAAAAUUCGCACUACCUCACAACGUACAGGAUGAAACUUAAGUUGAUUAAGAAACUUCAUAAUCCACGCGGCCUCCUUGGCUGCUAGACAGCAUGCCACAUACUCGGAUUCCAUGGUGGACAAGGCCACAAUAUCUUGUUUAUUUGACUUUCAAGAAAUCAUACCCCCUCCAAGCCUAAACACAUAUCCAGAUGUAGACUUCGCAUCAUCUGGAUCCGCGAGAUAACUUGCAUCUGAAUAUCCCUAUAUUGCAAUUUCAGUUCCCCACUUCUUUUUACAGCUUUGUGAUGCUCCUCUCUUUGAUUACUUUGGAAGCGGCUCACCAGACUCAUGACGAAGGACAAGUCAGGCCUUGUUCGUCAUAGCAUACAUAAGGGACCUAACUGUGCUCCUGUAUGAUACUCUCUCCAUGGCUCUUAUAUCCAUGUCUUUGGUAGGACACAUCUUAUUAUUAAGCUUCAUUUUUUUGUCAAUUGGGGUAGACAUGGGCUUACACAUACUCAUAUCAAACUUUUCCAAAAUCCUCUUACAGUAGGUUGUCUGGAAAGUUGGAUAGUUUUCUCUCUCCUGUUUUUUAUUAUCUUGAUACCCAACACAUAUGAAGCUUCUCCAAGAUAUUUCAUAUUGAAGUGUUGUGCAAAGAAAGUUUUCGUCGCUACUACUAGGACAAUUGAGUUACUAACAAUUAGCAUAUCAUCCACAUAUAAUGAUAUAAAGACUGCAUCAUUCCUACUGACCUUUUGAUAUAUGCAAUAAUCCUCAUUAUUUGUGAAGAACUCUGUAAGAGCAAGGGUCUCCUGGAAUUUUAUAUACCACUAUCACGAUGCUUAUUUCAGGCUAUAAUGGGAUUUUAUUAAGUUUGCAUACUAGGUUCUCUUUCCCUUUCUCCUCAAAUCCCUCAGGUUGGGUCAUGUAAAUUUCUUCUUCUAAAUCCCCAUUUAAAAAUAUUGUUUUAACAUCCAUUUGAUGAACCUCAAAGUCAAAAUGGGCUGCUAUAGCUAUAAGGAUUCGGAUGGAUGAAAAUUUGGCAACAGGAAAAAAAGUUUCCCCAUAAUCUAUCUCUUCUUUCUGGGUGAAAUUAUUUGCAACCAACCUAGCUUUGUAUUUUAUUAUUUUCCCUUCAAAGUUCAACUUUUUCUUGAAAAUCUACUUGCAACCAAUGACCUUACGUUUUUGAAGUAGAGGUACUAAUUCCCAUAUAUGGUUUUGGUUAAUGGAAGCAUACUCAUCUUUCAUGGCUUCUACCCAGUAUUCCUUUUCAGGACAGGUCAAGGCUUCAUGAUGAGUUCUAGGUUCUAAAUCUGGAUCUUCUCCAACCUUAUCAAAAUAUUCUCCAAGCUAGACAAAAUGUUCUAGAUAAAGCGGUGGUCUACUGACUCGGUUACUUCAUAUUGGUUUAAAUAAAGAUUCACUUUCUUUAAAGAGUUCAAGAACAGGUUGCGUUGGUUUCGAAGUUUCAGGUUCAGGGUCUCGAACUACAUUCUUGUUUUUGGCCUCCUCAUAAAAGUUGACUUGUUUUCUACUCACCCUUACUUCAAGGAACUCUUCCUCGAAGAAGUGAGCAUCGCAACUUUCAAUAACCGUAAAUGUUUCAAGGUUGUAGAAUUGAUACCCCUUACCAUGAUAUGGGUAACCAAUGAAAAUGGAUUUGACAGUCUUGGGUUGCAAUUUGGUUCUAUUUUUAUGUGGGAUAAGGACAUAGGCUGAGCAACCCCAAACUUUCAGGUGUUCAAGGGAGGGAGUACGACCUGUGAAAAUUUCGUGAGGAGUAAGUGGGGCAGCUUUUGUAGGAGUUCGGUUAAGGAUGUAACAUGCCGUUAAAAUAGCUUCUCCCCAAAAAUCCAAUGAGAGAUUUGCAUGCCUCAUCAUACUCCUUACCAUUUCCUCUAAGGUCAUAUUCUUUCUCUCAGCUACACCAUUUUGUUCAGGAGUAUAAUGCAUGGUGUAUUGAUGGAUGAUCUCAUUUUCAAUGCACAAUUCUUUGAAAAUGUCAGAUGAAUAUUCUCCUCCUCUAUCGGUUCUAAGGACUUUAAUUUUCAGGUUAGUUUGAUUCUCUACCUGGGCUUUAUAUUCUUUGAAUUUUUCUAGAUCUUCUGAUUUUGCAUGAAUAAGGUACACAUGGCCAUAUCACGAGUGAUCAUCUAUAAAAGAGAUAAAAUAUCUUUUUUCACUUUUUGUGGCUACAUUCAUAGGUCCACAUAUGUCACUAUGAAUGAUUUCCAAUACACUAGUAGCUUUUUUUGCCCUGGUAGUAUUUUUCUUUGCACACAAGACUCACACACUUUCGAUAAAUCUCCCUUAUAAUUUUAAAGAAUCUCAUCCCUUUUUAAUCUUUCCAUUCACUUGAUAUUAAUAUGUCCUAACCUCAUAUGCCAUAUGGUAGCAUCCAAUUCAUUAAGGGACGAGACAUAAGCAACAUUCUCUUUUAUUUAAAUAAUAAGUAGCUCAUCUACAAGUCGUCCAGUCAUGAUCACAUUAUUGGCAAGUUUCAUACGGAGUAUUCCGGCGGCCCACUUCAUCCCAUGUAAGUGCACUAUCGAUUCCUCUAAUGUUGCAACUUUGUUCUUUCGAGAAGUAGUUAGAUUGCAUGGGGUGCUUAAAACUAUCUAUAGUUAGAUUGCAUGGGGUGCUUAAAACUAUCACUUCUGAUCGAGACACUCGUUAUGUGGGUAACUUUUUGAAGACUUCUUUAUGGAAGAUCAUGAGAACAAUGCUAGACUUCCCACCAAUAACUUAGAUUGCUCGGGCUUGGAUAAUUUAUCAAAUGCUGGUUAAGUGUGGAGGAUAUGGGUUGUUUCAAAAGAGAGAAUCGUUGGUUCUAGGAACUCUAAUAACGAUUAAAAGACUACCCGGACUAUGUUUAUGUUAUUUCCUCCCCCCCCCCCCCCCCGAAAAACUACUAGUCCUUCAGUCGUUCACUGCGUUCACUCACUCCGUUCGCUACGCUCACUGUGCACUCAGCCUAAAGGCUUUGCUUGCCCACCGUUCACUACGCUCUCUCCUAAUGAAAGUGCUUGUGAAUCCAGCCAUAGACAUAUUAAGAACCGAAACCAAGCACUUCUUCAUAUCAGGAGCAUAAAGUGCUUUUUUUAGGAUCAAGGUGUUCUCACUCUUCAGUUUCAGCUCAAAAUCUCCAACUUCAAGAACAUCAGUCUUCUGAUUUCCUCCCAUGUAAAUUUGCUGCUAUCCUGGCUCCAUGGGAGUGAAAGAACGAAAACCUUCUUAGGUGUUUAUGACAUGUGCCGUAGCACCCGAGUCAAGACACCAAGAGGCUCCCUUGGGGUCAGCUAGCAUAGACUCAAAAACCACACAUGCCAAUUCCUUGUUGGUCCCUCCAUAUUUGUUAAACCAACAACUAUUGGCUAUGUGGCCCACCUUUUUGCAAAUAAAGCAAGUUUGAGUCUCUCUUUUCGCUCCCUUAUUUCAAAAAUCUCUCCUUUUGAAAUCUCUUUUCUUUCCAAAAUUAUUUCUUCCCUUUCACUUCUUAAAUUUAAAAGGUGGAGACUUUACCAUAUGCACGGCUUCCCUUAGAGUCGUUGUCAGUAGGUGCCUUGAAUUUCUCCUCUCCUCUUCUGUUUUGAUCGUAGUGAUGAGCUCCUCCAGUUUUAGUGUUUUCCUUCUGGCUGAGAUGGAAGAUAUGAAAGUCUCCCAUGAAUUAGGAAGUGAAUUCAUAAGAUGAACUACUUGCAUAGGUUCAUUAGGUUUCAUGCAUGUAUCUUCUAAGUCUCUAACUAAUGCACGAAACACAUGCACAUAAUCUGUAAACUUAGUACAUUCUGUCAUCUUUAAUUCAUUAUAUUGUCUCAUAGACAUGGUUUGCUUUAUAAGAGAGGGUUCAACAUACUGUCUCUCAAGUUUAUCAUAAAUUUUACUUGCAGUAUUGAUUGACUCAUACUUAGAAGCAUAUGAAUCAGUCAUGACAAAUAAAAGAAUGUGUUUGCAUAUCAGAUUCUUUCUCUUCCAAUUGGCAUACUCAUCUUUAAUGCUUGAGAUGAGUCGUCAAUUGGACGACGAGGUCGGUCCUCAAAGAGUACCUCAUGCAAGUUUUCCUCAUAAAGCACAAAUUUGAUUUUUCUUUUUCAUGAGACAAAAUUGGUCCCAUCUAACCUUUUGGUUUUCAGGAUCUCUGAGAUGAAGGUAUGAGCAACCAUAUAUUUCUAUUCUCAAGCAAAAAUAAGAAAAGACUCCUAAUGACAAUCAAGUAAAACUAGCUCUGAUACCAAUGAAAGAAAGACCUAUGUGAUAUUUUGCCGGGUAUAUACAAUUUUUAUUUAUUUAUUUAUUUUUAUUUUUUUUAUAAGAAAUAAUCACCCCUUAUAAUUUUGGCAACAAGAUCACUCAUAGAUGAUCUUAUUACAAACAAUAUAAAUUCCAAAAAUAAAUAACACAAUAUCCCAACUACUUGAUGUCAUUUAUACAACCUAAUACUAUGCUUGAGAAUAUAAAAUAAAAGAACAAACAAAUAAAAGAAAAGAUGCCAGAAGUUACCUCAACCGAGCUUUUUACACCCCACACCGAGUCACCACAUCCAAUGGCGCGGGAUCUGUGGUCUAGCUUCAAUUUCGAACCGAAAUAGUUGAUUUUGGCAAAACUAUAUAACUACGCUUAAAAUCUCUACUAAACCUUAACCCCCAAAACUAACUUAGGCUUCCUUCUAAUUUUUUCAACCCUUAGUUUCUUCUUAGGUCUAGAGAGGAGAGAGAGUACUACUAGGGUUUUAGAGAGAAGAAGUUAGAGAGAGAAAUAUGGAGGAGAGAGAGUGGGGUGUGUCCUUCUAAGAGAGAGAGGUGAGAGAGAGAGAAGAGAGAGAGUGGUUGUGUGUGUAGAGAUUGGGGGAGAGCACCUUUAAUUAUAGUGGAUAUUUAAGUUUAUGGCUUCUUAGGGUUUUUCCAUAGUUUGCCUCUUUCAUGAGAUUGAAUCUAGACCGUUGAUCAAGGUGACUUAUGGGAUGGGAGAUCUGAGCAAUCCAUUCUAUAGGCUUGAACCAUUAUCCCCCUUUCCUUAAACCAUUUUCCCAUCAAUAUAUUUAAAUAAAAUAAAUAUCAUGCAUUCUAUAAAAUUGCAUGAUCCAUGUCACAUAUUCUAUACAGAAAUAUCAAUAAUUAUCAGGCAAAUAAAUACUACUAAAUAAGAUAAAGGCAAUAUUUCUCUUCCAAGAUUUGACCACAUACCACAAAUCAAAGUUACAAUAUUUAAUAAACUUGAACACAAAGCAACAAGAAAAUCCAAGGGGUGGGGCGUGCCACCCCUUUGUGGCACAUGUGGGCCCCCACCCACAUGCCACAUGGUGGGCCCACGUGCACUUUGGGCCCUCCAUAGAAUUUAUAAACAAUUUUAAAAUUAAACAAUUUAAUAUAUGAAUUUUUACAAUAUUGUAAAUUCAAUAACUAUAUUUUUAUAAGUCCAAAAAACAUAAAUAAAAUAUUGAGAGACUCAUAAAAGUUCAAAUAAUAAAACUAAAAAUAUUUCAAUAAUAAAAUGAAUACAAUUAAAUUAAUAUAAUGGGAAAAUGAUCCAUAUAGUUUUAAGAAUUCAAUCUGUAAUAAUGGGGUACUCCACAUUCAACUGUGGACUACAUGUCACACUAGCUUUAUCGAACCGAUCCAGUGUUUCUUAUGACCCAUAAUCCAAGCAGGGGCUCAUUAGCAUGUCACUAAAGUCAGGUCGAUGAAUCAAGGGAUCGCAAUCCCAGUCUGUGGAUUACAGGUCCUCCUAUAGAGACGAGUCAAAGUCACCAUGAUCUGAUGCGAUCACAACUCUAUAGUGAAUAGGGGUAUCUCUCGCACAUGCAUACGCUUUACCCAAAGGUGGAUAUCUAGCUUUCUCGAACGAUCUAUCAAUAUGCAUGCCGUGUGAUGGAACAUGGAUGAUGUUUUGGCCCCCGUCUCAGUAGGCCUACCAUUACACACAAGGGCCACACAGUCCCUCGGCUCAUUCAUCUAUGCAUAAGCUUCGACCUUAUCAAGGGCGAACCCAAAACCCUCAUCGGUUUAAUUCUUUAUGCCCAGGUACUUUGGGUUUUUCAACCGACUGGCCUAGAUCGAUAAGCACAGUCCGGCAUAAACAAACAUCAUUUGCUUAGUAUGGUCCUCGAAGGAUCACACUCCCACUNNNNNNNNNNNNNNNNNNNNNNNNNNNNNNNNNNNNNNNNNNNNNNNNNNNNNNNNNNNNNNNNNNNNNNNNNNNNNNNNNNNNNNNNNNNNNNNNNNNNNNNNNNNNNNNNNNNNNNNNNNNNNNNNNNNNNNNNNNNNNNNNNNNNNNNNNNNNNNNNNNNNNNNNNNNNNNNNNNNNNNNNNNNNNNNNNNNNNNNNNNNNNNNNNNNNNNNNNNNNNNNNNNNNNNNNNNNNNNNNNNNNNNNNNNNNNNNNNNNNNNNNNNNNNNNNNNNNNNNNNNNNNNNNNNNNNNNNNNNNNNNNNNNNNNNNNNNNNNNNNNNNNNNNNNNNNNNNNNNNNNNNNNNNNNNNNNNNNNNNNNNNNNNNNNNNNNNNNNNNNNNNNNNNNNNNNNNNNNNNNNNNNNNNNNNNNNNNNNNNNNNNNNNNNNNNNNNNNNNNNNNNNNNNNNNNNNNNNNNNNNNNNNNNNNNNNNNNNNNNNNNNNNNNNNNNNNNNNNNNNNNNNNNNNNNNNNNNNNNNNNNNNNNNNNNNNNNNNNNNNNNNNNNNNNNNNNNNNNNNNNNNNNNNNNNNNNNNNNNNNNNNNNNNNNNNNNNNNNNNNNNNNNNNNNNNNNNNNNNNNNNNNNNNNNNNNNNNNNNNNNNNNNNNNNNNNNNNNNNNNNNNNNNNNNNNNNNNNNNNNNNNNNNNNNNNNNNNNNNNNNNNNNNNNNNNNNNNNNNNNNNNNNNNNNNNNNNNNNNNNNNNNNNNNNNNNNNNNNNNNNNNNNNNNNNNNNNNNNNNNNNNNNNNNNNNNNNNNNNNNNNNNNNNNNNNNNNNNNNNNNNNNNNNNNNNNNNNNNNNNNNNNNNNNNNNNNNNNNNNNNNNNNNNNNNNNNNNNNNNNNNNNNNNNNNNNNNNNNNNNNNNNNNNNNNNNNNNNNNNNNNNNNNNNNNNNNNNNNNNNNNNNNNNNNAUGGACUAUACCAAGCAAACAAUGUUCGAUGAUAUUAGACUGUGUUUAACAUGUUAGGUUAGUCUGGUUGGGGAAAACACAUAUUACCUAUGCAUAGAGAAACAUGCUGAUGAGGGUUAGAUAGGUUAUCCCUUGAUGAGGUUGGAGUAUGCUCGAAAGAGUGAGCCGAGGGACUGUGUGACCCUUGUGUGUGAUGGAGGUCUUCAGAAAUGGGGCCAAAGCCUCAUCAUUUGUAUCAUCACACGGCAUGCAUAUCGAUAAUCGUUUUCAAGAAAGCAUACUACCUUUCAUGGUGAAGCUUGUGCAUGUGCGAGAGAUACCCCAUAUGCAUCAUCGAGCUAUGAAUUGCAUCAGGUCAUAAUGACGUUGGUUUUGUCUCUAGGGGGAACCUGAAAUCCAUAUAUUGGGAUUGCAACCUUUAUCUAUUGUUUAGACUUUGGUGACCUACUAAUGAUCCCCUGCAUAGACUGUGGGUCAUGGGCAACGCUGGGUCGGUUUGAGAAAGCAUGUGUGGUUCGUAGUUCGCAGUUGGACAUAAAGUGCCCCAAUGGAUAUUUAUUCCUAGACCAUAUGGAUCAUUUUCCCAUUAAAAUAUUUAAUUUUAUUUAUUUUAAUAAUAAGUGAUUUUUAGAAUUUUUAUUUGAAUUUUUGUGAAUCUCUGGAUAUUUUACUUAUCAAAUUUAGAUUUAUAAAAACAAAGAUAUUUAUUUUAUAAGUACUUAAAUAUUUAAAUAAUAAUUUUAUGUUUUUUAAAUAAUUUAUAAUAUAAUUGCAUGGGAGACCCAAUAGGAUUUUUGGGCCCACCAUAGCAAAUUUGGUGGGGCCAAUUAUGUGCCACAAUGGGUGGCAUGCCCCACCUAAGACACUUUCUAUUUUUUGUAAUGAAGCUUUAAAGCUUGAGAGAUAAGUUUGUAUUGUUUUAAAAAAGCUUAAACCUUGAGGAAAUUUUGAUUGAUAUUUUAGUAUGUAUGAGAAGGCUUAUGUAUAAAAAAAGAAAGAAUAAUAUUAUCAUAUAUUAAUUUUUCAUUUGAAUUAAUUAAUGGGAAAAUAAUUUAAGAAAUGGAGGAUAAUGAUUCUAGCACCUUCCAUAAAAUGUUGAUGGCCCAUCUAUGGAAUAGAUAACUCAUAUUUCUCAUCCAACAGAUCACUAAAAAUCAAUGGUGCAUAUUCAUUCUCACAUGAGUGGUAAGCCAAGAAAAACUUCAAACACUAUAAAAGAGGAGUACCCUACCUAAUCUCUGUACCAUAUCUCUUAUACUUAAAAUCUCUCUUCUCUCUCCCAUAUACAAUAAGAGGGGCACGCCCCUAGUAGAGGAAUUCUCUCUCUCUCUCUCNNNNNNNNNNNNNNNNNNNNNNNNNNNNNNNNNNNNNNNNNNNNNNNNNNNNNNNNNNNNNNNNNNNNNNNNNNNNNNNNNNNNNNNNNNNNNNNNNNNNNNNNNNNNNNNNNNNNNUUACUCUACACUAGAGUAGGUAAGACGAACGAAACUAACUAACAACUAACUAAAGAAGACGUACCGUACCUACUACUCUCUACUACUAUACUCUUACUACUUAACUACUACUCUUCUCUCUCCACUAUACAUAAGAGGACGACGACCGUACGUAGUAGAGUCUCUCUCUCUCUCUCUCUCUCUCUCUCUCUCUCUCUCUCUCUCUUAUCAAAAUUAAGGGGCAUGCCUCACCUAGACGGAAACUUCUCUCAUCUUGGAAAUUCUCUCUCCUUAAAAAAAACCCUAAGGGGGGCACACCCCACUCUCUCUCUCUCAUGAUUGCUCUUUUGUCUCCCAUCAUCUCUCAUCUCUCAUCUCACAUUGGGGUUAAGAAUGCAGGGUGUGGUAGAAAGAGAAGCAUCUCUCUCAAAGUAGGUUAUCAAAGGGGUUCACUUAGCUAUUAAAUUUGUAAUUAAAGGGGUUCAUGUUUCAUUGGUGUGGCUUGUCCAAAACUUGAUUUCCUAAUUGAGAUUGAAGGUUGACCAUUAGAUCCCGCGCUAUCGGAAGGUAGUGACUCGGUGUGGGGUGCAAGAAGCUUGGUUGAGGUAAUAUCCGACAUCCUCUUUUGUUUCUUGCGUAUUUAUUUCUUAUGUCUGGUAUUCCCAAGCCUAUGUUGUGUCUUUUCUUUGUUAUUGAAAGAAAGGUUUUUGAAUGGCUUCAAGUUCUUGAGAUCUUAUUGUAUUCUUUUUUUAUACAUUAUUUGAAGUUAUUAUAAUGUAAAAAGACUACUUGUAAGUGAUAUAGGCCGUGAAAAAAAUAAAAAAAAUUGAAAAAAAAUAUAUUAUAUACUCCGACUAGAUCACACGAGUCCUUCUUUCAACACACACUUGUGCAUUGCUUGCAUUUUCUUUACUACGAUACUUGAUGUUGCCAUUGAUAAAAGUUCUUCAGCAAUAGUCAAGGUGGUGUCCAAUAGAGCAAGUUUAUCAUCUGCUUUUAACCCUGGAAUUUAUUUUUUGUUAUUAUUAUUAUUAUUAUUUUAUUUUUUUGAAAUGUAGAAGUUGAAAAAGGGUCUCAUUGUGAUUCCUAUUAAAUUAGAGUAUUGGUCAUUGAAAACUACUUUAAAAUGCCAAAUUACUACACUUAUAUUUUCCUUAAAAGAUUGAGGGUUUUUAGGGAGCAAGAAUGUAACCCUAUUCAUCUUUAUAUGUAUAUAUGGGUCAAGGAAGCAAUAAUAUCCUUUUAUGGUCACUCCUUUAGUGUCGUCGAAAGGGAUCCCCAAGAAAGAGAUGGAUCUCUAAUGUAAGACAUGGACUCCUAGAGAGGUGCUAUUUCGAUAGGGUUUUAGUUUGGGGUGAAUUUUCACUUCUAGAGAAAGGCUCUCUUAUUUACUCUCGAGGUUAACUUUUUCAUUUAAUGGCAAAAAAAGAGGAGAUUGAUUGUCAAUAUUUUUGGGUCGGGAGAGCAAAUUUAGAAGGGAAGAUCAAUAAGGGUGGAUUAUGUUUAGAGAGAGGUAUAGCUCUUAUAACUCAAAAUUAUUAGUUCAAUAAGAUAAUGGAUCUCUACUUGCUGAGGCCAUGGACAUAGUCCAACUAGGAUAAACUAUAUAAUCAAGUGGGAUUAUAGUAUAUCAUUUAUUUUACUUUAUUUCUUGCACCUUUUUGGUUCUCAUAUUUACUUGUUUCUCACCUUGACAACUACAUACACAAUCCUGGGUGGGAUUUUGGGAUUUGAGGUUCCUAAUUCUGCAAGCGACGAUUCUCUAGGACCCUACAAUUAAUAUCAAAGAACACAAUAUGUAUGGAUCUAAGGUUUUUUUUGUUACCAAUGGAGAAAAAGAUGAAAGGCGAAGCUAAAUGGAUAUAUGAUUUGAGGUGGAGAAACAUAGAGGUACAAUACAUGUGAAAAUUUCGCAAUAAAAGCAAGAGGGAGGAAAUAAAAAAUAAUCCAAUAGAGGUUAGCAAGGCAAUUAUGAUAAUUUUAAUGUCAAAGUGGUGACUAGUAGGUUUGGUGAUGAUCAAAUCACUACACCUAUGCUUUUCUCAAAAGAUUGGGGGUAUUAUGAUAAAAGAAAAAAGGGAAUUUUUUUGGGGACCAAGAAUGAAACCCUAGGGGUCUUAAUAUAAAUGAGCCAAAAAAGCCAUAAUACUCAUACUUUUAGGAUCACCCCUUUAAAGUCAUGGGCAUGGAUCUUCAAGAGAGAGAUGGGUCAAGUGAGAUAUGACCUCCUAUAGAGAGUCAGUAUUCGCAUGGGAUAUUAGGUUGAUUGAAUUUUCUAGAGAGAAAAAAUAUCUCAGUUGCUCUAAAUAUUUUCCUUUUGGUAGCAAUGUAGAGGUAGGAAAAUAUAUGAUAGUCAGCCACGUUAUUCGAUUGCAAGAACAAAUUUAGAAGGGAUGAUCGACAAGAAUAUUUUUGUUGCUUGUAAAGAUACAUCUCUUGUAACCCAAAAUUGUAAUCUUCAUUAAGAUAAUAGAUUUUUAUUAGUCGAUGGCAUGGACAUAGCCUCAUAAACCAUAUAAAAUGUGUAUCGUUGUGGUUUACCUUUUAUUAUUCUUUUAUUCCUCGCACUUUUUUUGUCGUUGCAUUCACUUAUUUUUCAUCUAGCUAUGUGCACAAUCUUGGGUGGAUCCCAAUAUUUGAGGUUCUUAGUUCCAUUUAGCCAGCUCAAGGACCCUAUAAUUAGUAUCAGAGCACAUAGUAUAUGCAGGCGUCAGUUUUGAUGUUAUUGGUGGAGAAAAGGAUGAAAGGUAAAAUUCAAUGGAUACAUGGUUUGAGGUGGAGACAUAUAGAGGCAAAGCAUAUGUGAAAAUUACAUAAUGAAGGCAAGAUGGAAGAAUUCAAAAAAUCUAUUUUUACAUCAUAUCAUUACCUUGCCAAACAUCCACUUGAUACCAAAUCACACCUUGAACUUUUCAAAGCUUCACUCUUUCCCUUUCUCGAAACCAAGAGAACUUAGACUCGAUUUCUAACUUCUCUAUUGGUACCAGCUUUGUAAGCAUGUAUGCCAGGAUACAAUCUUGAUCUUAGCCAAUUGAGUUCUCCUAUCUUCAACAACUUACUUAAUAUAAUAAUAUUGAGCCAAUAUGUAUCUCGACAUCUUGUGAUGAACUAGAUUAUUAAUUAAGUGAAUGGCACCUAUCUUGUCACAUAAUAGUUAUAUGGGCUUUACAUGUAAUACCUAUUUCACUAAUCAAUCGUUGGAACUAUACUACUCCUUUUCACGCCUCUAUUAUUGUUAGUGCUAUAAUGUCUUGGAGCCUUGACAUCCAAUGUGACGGUACAUUUGCAAAUUGAGAAAUAGAUGUAGUAAUUGAUCCACCUCUAUCAAGACAACCAAUAAAAUUUACAUUGACAAAACUUUGCAUUGAAUUCAAGCCCUUGCAAAAUGUGCUUGUAUAAUUAGUUGUGCCUAUAAAUGAAGCACCGAUUUUGUUGCCUCCUAAUAAACACAUUUUUGGGUUCAACAUAAACUGACUUAAUACACAAACCGCAUGGGCACUAUUUAGUCUAGUACACAGUAUGGUGAGAAUCAAGAUAUCAAUGUCAUUGUAGUGAGAAGAAGUAGGACUUGUCCCACAUUGAAAAUUUAAGACAUGGAACGCCUUGAUAAAACAAAUGUCACUCUCAUACCUAUAACAAUGGCUUGCAUGUAUGAGUUGGAAAUGCACAAAGAUGAGGCAUCACUAAGGAUAUGAGCACUCCUCAUAUGUUGAAAAAUAAAAACAAGUACCAUUUUCAAACAAUGUUGGACUCGUGAACAUGUGACGUGUUCGGUUUUAUCUUAAAAGAGUCGAUUUCAAUAUAUUGAGGGAGGGAUCCAAAUUGCCAGACCCGGUUCCUAGAGUAGUUUUCUAAGAGAGUCGACCUCAAGGAGUCGUUUUCUAAAAGAGUCGUUUUCAGAGAGAGUUGUCUGGAUCUCAAUAUAGAGAGUCCUCUAGAGUCGUUGUCAAAGAGAGUCGUCUAGAUCUCAAAGAGUCGUCGAGAUCUCAAAGAGUCCUCUAAAAGAGUCAGUUUUCUAAGAGAGUCAUGUGGAUCUCAAUAUAGAGUCGUUUUCUAAGAGAGUUGUCUGGAUCUCAAUAUAUUGAGAGAUCCAAAUCGCGCCAUCAACGAUUCUCGAUCUAAAUUGAGCAAUUUCGAUCCAAAUCACCAAAUUUUCAAACCUUGUGUAGCAUGGUUGCAAAGCCACCCUAGAUUGUCGAUUCUCGAUCUAAAUUGAGCAAAUUUCAAUCCAAAUCGCCAAAUUUUCAAACCUUGUGCAGCAUGGUAGCAAAGCCACCCUAGGUUGUCUUCAUCUUUUGGUUUGUGAUUUACUUUUUGGUGUCUGCCAUUCUCUCAUGGAAGCAAAUUGAACACUUGCUCCCUCAAGAAAAAACCCACUUUGGAGGAUUUAUUUGAAUGAAAAUCGGUUAAUAUUCUUGAAUCAAACAAAUGAUUUCAAAGAAGAAAACAUGAAAUUGAUUUUUCAGUUCCUAAACACCUAGAUCUGAUCAUUUGAAAAAUAUUGAGUUUCUAAAUACGUUGAUCUCUUCAUUGGAACAUAUAUUCACUUUUGACAUCAGAAUUGCUUCAGGUAAAUGAGUAAUAAGGUAGGAUUUUAAUUUCUUUUUCAAAAUAGAUAGGAUGAGUGGAUUACAAUCCCAAAAUUACGAUAUGAGAUUGAUCAAGAAACAAGCUGAGAAGCUCAAUUUAUUAUUAUCUUCUUAUUUUUCACAAAAAUAGUUGUUUUAUGGGCCCUAAAAUACCGAUCCAUCAAUUUCUCCUUCAAAUCUCAACUAAAAAACCUUGAAAUGUAUUUAAAUUGUUGGUGAUUAAGCUCCUUAUCAAUGGCCUAUUUUACUUUAUUGGAGAAAAUAAAAAUUUGAAGAGAGAAAGGCCCAAAAUUUCAGGUUUAUCAUCAUCUAAGCUCAGAUCUCUAAUUUGGCACAUUUUUUGAGGUUCAAUUGACAAUUUUAUUAGGAAUUAUUAUCUAGAUUGUAUUAAGAUUGAUGUAAACCAGGGUUUUUAUUUUUGAAUAAUAUUUGUAUUUAUUUUAAUUUUCUCAGUUUAGGGUUUUCUCAAAAUUAUUUAGAAAGAUAAAAUAUUUUAAUAAGAUUAUUAUGUUAAUAUUUAUCAUUUUUGUCUUAUGUAGGGUUUAGAUAAACUUUUAACAAUAUUUGAAUUUAUCUGGAUUUUUCCUUGAGUUUGGGAUUUCCUGAAAAUUUUCUAAAAUCUGAAUUUCAGAUUAUUAUUUUUGUGCUCGAGAUUGACCUAGGUAGGGUAGAUAAUUUUUAAUAAUAUUUUUAUUAUUUUAUUUCUUUCUUGGUUUAAAACUUUUAUGAAAAUUCUAGAAGAUUAGAAUUCUUUUUGCAAAUGUUGGAUAAAUUUUAUUUUGUUCUAGGCUGUAUUAGGUAUUAUUUUAUAUAGUUUUUGAAUGAUUUUCAUAUCUAUUUGAAAUAUUUGUCUCAGUUUAGUGUAUUUAUGAAAAGUUUGAGAAAUAUUCAUAAAAGUUUUGUAUUUUUUUUUUUUUUUUGUCCUUUUUUGUUUUAGUCUCUAAGUAGAGGUCUGAAUAUUUUUUUAGUAGUAUUUGUAUUUAUGUUAUCCUUUGUCUCAGUUUAGAGCUUUCCUCGAUAAUUUUGAGAAAUCUCUAAAAUUUUUGUAAAUGUUAUGUUAAUUUGUUUUUGCUAAGAAGUGCCUAAAUUUUAUUUUUCUUGUUUUCUAUUAGGCAAAUUUUAAAUUUUAUUAUUAUUCUUCUUCUUUUUCUUGCUUUUUUUUAACAAAACUAUUUACCAUCUAAUGAUUGUGGCACUCAAACAGGAACAGAAUCUCCGUGUUCACACAUAUUGGACAAUUCUAUCUAAGGAAAAAGUUUACAUAAAUGCGAAGCUCUAAACAAUGCACCUCAAAAUCAUUAGAAGAGGUUAUUUUGAUGCUCAAAAAUCCUCAAAUUGAACAUCUCGACCUCAAAUGAACAUAAGAAAAAACUGGAUUUCAAGUUUUGGAAAUAGUGCAUCUUGUAAUGCAUUUUUCGACCAUCAAUUUUCAAGAUUUUCAAGAUUUCAUAGAUAUGUUCGAUCUUCACUAUUUUUUAUGCUUUAAAUUUUAUAAUUAGAAAUGAAAAUAUAUAUUACGACUAUCACAAAGAUUUCCCGUAUUGAAACCACAUUCCUUGACACUAUUUGAAGGUGCGCUUUACUUUGAUUGUUUAGAGCCUCAGCUUCAUACAAACUGCACCCUUCUCAAUUAACUAAAAUUUGAUUUUUGAAUUUUUUUUAUAAGCAUGAGAUGCCUAUUCCUCUCUUAAAACCAAGGUUAUCGGCUCGAGCAGCCGAACAUGCCACCUAUCGGAUUCCAAUUGUAUAUUGGUUGAUUUAGACUGGUUUGACUGACUCGUUGGUCAUCCCGUGCUUAUAAAAAAGAUCAAAAAAAUUCAAAAAAAAAUUAAAAUCAAAUUUUAUGGUUUUUGGAAAUUUUUGAUAAAUAUAUUGUAGAGUUUGAUGGAAUUGACCAAAAUGUGCUAAUACCAAGUCUGUUUGAGUGUUCGAAACUCUGCCAUAAGAUGCAGUUUUGGUUUCAAAAAUCUUAAUAUGACUUAAAAAUCUAUUUAAUUUCCUAACUAUAAAAAUUUAAAGUUCUAAAAAUACUAGAGAUUAAACAGAUUUAUAAACAUUUGAAAAUCUCAUAAAAAGAUGUUUCAGAUAAAAUGUUAUAAAAUGCAUUAUUUUAAGGGUUUAAAUCUUUCUCUUUCUAUAUAUCAAGGUCGAGAGAUCGUUUUUCAAUCUUCCCCAAUGGAUUUUUGAAGUGCACUUACCUAAACUUUUCUUUUGCUACCAGGUAGAGAGGUAGUUUCAUAUUGUUAUCUUCUAGAGAAAGAGAGGGGUGUGCCGGUUGUGGGCUAGCCAUCUACGUAGGUCCGAGAAUGGGUCAGCUCGGGUCCGAAUCCACCAGGAUCUAGAUUCAGAUUCAAAAGUAUACAUGGUAUCCAUAUGAGGAUUCAAUCGGAUCCAAAAAAAAUUAUUUUACAGAUUAUUUCACAUUUAUAAAAUCAUCUAAAAUAAUAUAUAACCAAAAAUAUUAUACGGCAUUAUGUAUGGGACUGUUUACAAUAAGAGUAUUUACCUUUGAUACAAGGGGGUCGCAAUUAUUUAUAGCCAUCUGAUGUGAAAUAUGAUAGCUUGGGAGUAUCACAAAGUUCAAAAAAAUUUAUUUUGAAAUUUGUGUGUGGUCAAUGGAAUAAAUACAACCAUCUAAUUUCACAUCUGAUGGUCAAAAUUAAUUGUGACCACCUUGUAUCAAAGGUAAAUGGUCUCAUUGUGAGCUUUUCAUAUAUAUAUAUAUAUAUAUAAUAUUUUAAUAAUUGGGUUAGAUCCGAAUCACAUCUGCAUGUACUCGGAUCCAAUCCGAACUACUAUUAAGAUCUAAAUUUUAGAUCCAAAUAUGUCCUGAUCCAAAUACUGAAUCCAUAUCUGGAUCUAAAUAAGAUCCGGUUCCAGAUCCAACAGGGUAAAUUCUCAGCUCUACAUGUACGCACGGGAAGAAAGAUGUAGAGGUUGUAUGGUCCGUCAGGUGGGGAUUUUGGACCACAUAAAAGCAUGUUGAGAGAGGGCAAGAAAGGUUACCUUUUAAAAUGGCUUAGUAUGGGCCCUCAAAGAUAUAUCAGAGUAUGAUUUGUGUGCCCUGAGGCACCAAUCCCUUUGUCGGAAUUUGGUCUCAUGUUUUUUUUUUCUCAAAAAUCAAGCAAAUAUAUAGUGGGCCACAUUUACGGCUGUCUCAUGUGCUUUUUGUAGUCCAUGAUUUGACCUCACUUUAUCUCAUUCCCCUCAUGAAGCCUCCAAAGGAAUAAAUUUGGGAUUCUAAGGAGGAAAAAUGAGUAAGAUAGAUAUUAGAAGAUCUCAUGAAGGAUAAUAGAUGUCAAAGAGAUAUAAGAUUAUACGAAGAAACAAAGGAAAUAUUUAUCUUCACAAGAAAAGAGAGGAGAGGGGUUCAAUUUGAAGAGAUAGAUUUUUUUUUUUUUAAGGGUGAAUUAGUGGGGCAAAAGGGUAGGGACCCUUUCCGUCAUCACUGAUUCACCGAAUAAAAAUUAUAUCCCUGAGACAUAGCACUGCAAAUCAUCAAGUGCUAACCAAUUAAGCAUGGCCUCUUUUCCAAAAGAAGAGACCCAUUCUUUUUCUUUUCCUAAGUUCCAUCCUUUCACAUUGAAAACCAUAAGCUUGGAUUUUGAUUGAAUUCACACCUGAAUUUUCUAGAUGGAGAGAUUUGUCGAAGGCUGCAUUCUAAAGGAGACAAAGAUUCCUAAUAUGGGAAUAAUUUGACAAUGUGCUAGCCAGGACUAGAUCAAUCCUCGAAUGAGCAAAAUAAAUUAUGGCAAUGAGGAAUAGUGCAUUAAAAACCGAACAGAUGGGGUCAAAUUGGGGACCACUAGUUUUGAGCCGAUUUGUCAAUUCUUUUAGGUUUUUCUUAUUGAAAUUUUUCAAAAAAUAGAAGGAUUGAUAUCUAAUGCAAAUCAUGGAAUUUCAAGGUAUAUAGCUCUUGAAUGCUCUAGAAUUUUGAGCGCAUUGUAGUAAGAAAAUGGCUUAUCAGCAUGAUUGAGGAGAACUUUGAUUUUAGGAUUUUAAGCAUGUUUUUUUAAUCAUGUAGCCUUGGAUUCAUGGACAUAAUCAUGAAUUUCAAGAGUGGUACAAGAUUACCUACUAUUGGGGCAGAUCUUGGUCUCUAGGUGGAUAUUCCCACAAAGGCCAUGGUAAGCUUUAAGAUCUAUCUAUUUAGGGAAAUCUUUCUUUGACUCUGGUUUAUGUCUCUCUUUAAGCAUAUAAUCAGGGAAUGGAGCCUCAAAUAAGAGAUUUGAUGAGUGUUCUUUGUGAAUUAAUAUGAAUAUGAAUACAUAAAGCAAAAAACAGUAUGAAAAAGGGCUUAACACAUUAAAUUGAAAGAAUAUGAUGCGUCAGACUUUGUGCUGCCAUCUUCUAAAAUUGACAACAUCAAAUAGAUCUAGCCUUAUAAAAUCCUGAUUCAUCAUUCUAAACGUGUUGUCAUCUUUUGAAGUUUUAUACUUUGAAAUUGUUGAGUUUCGUCGGUCAUCGUGAGUAAAAAUAAUAAGAAUAUGCGUUCUACAUUGUAGUUCAAUCAGUCAGAGCACCGCCCUGUCAAGGCAAAAGCUGUGGGUUCGAUCUUCGUCAGUCCCGAUUAUGAUUUGAUGAAUGGGUCUCCUCGACAAACUUGCUACUAGCCCAAGAUCAAUAUUGGCCUGAUAAUCAUAGAAAUCCUGAUCUGUACUUUGACCCAACUUGUAUUCUGACUAAAGUUCUAUUUUUUGAUCGACAUUCUAUUUUGAAAGGGGCUCGAAUUGAAAGGAGCUCAAUCUGAAAGGAACUCUAACUAAAAGGAGCUCAAAUUAAAAUGAGCUCGAAUUGAAAUGAGCUCUAACUGAACUACAAACUUGGAGGUACGAGAUAGUAUCCCUUCUUUGAACGCCCAUGUUUCAAUAAAAUAACCAAGAUGC
rnacentral:lncRNA from 1 species